UGUGCGGACUGCAGUCCUACUGGGGAUGCGGCCUGUGAGCCGGGCCCAGAGCGGGUUGGGGGUGGUUGCCCCGCACGGGCGGCAGAGGGGAGGGGGCGGCCUGUCCCCACUCCCGGGACGGUCCCAGCCCGCGGCCUCUGCCCAGGCCUGGCCUGGUGGGUGAUGGGCCGCGGAAAGCAGAGGGCCUUGGGCUGGGCAGGGAGGGAGCGCGUGCCCCGCCCCGCCCCCUCAGCGCAGGCCCCAGCUGUGGCUCCGUGUGGUGACAAUGGCCGCCACCAUGUGGCUCCGCCCUGUGGGUGUGGCCUCCCUGAGGUCACCCAGGGCCUCAGCACAACCGCCCCAGUCCCUUCCCCGCAGCCCCAUCCCUACACACCCUUGGCUCCCUCGUGCCCCUGUGCCCCCACCCCCCGUCCCCAUGCCCCUGUGCUCCCGUCCCUGCGUGCCCACGCCCCUGUGCUCCUACCCCACCGUCCCCAUGCCCCUGUGCUCCUACCCCUGUGUGCCCACGCCCCUGUGCUCCCGUCCCUGCGUGCCCACGCCCCUGUGCUCCUACCCCUGCGUGACCACGCCCCUGUGUUCCCGUCCCUGCGUGCCCACGCCCCUGUGCCCCAGCCCCUGCGUGCCCCUGCCCCUGUGUCCCCGUCCCUGCUUCCCCGUGUCCCCGUCCUCUUGUCUCUGUGUGCCAAAGUGGCCCUGUUCCCGCGUCCCCUUGGGCCUGUUCCUGUGCUCCCGGCCCUGCAUCUAGGGGCGCCUGUCCUGUGUUGAGAGGCCCCCCUCUUCAAGGAGGAGUCCCUUCCCAUGGACGGCAGCCUCUCCUCUUGUCAGCUAAGAGGCCGGACCCCAACCCACCGCAGGCCCACCGCAUUCCCCCUGCAGACGCUCCAGGUGGCUCCCCCACGCCUGGGUAGCAGCAGGAAGUCCCAGAGAGAAGCAUCUGAUUCCUCUGAGACUCCGGCCACGACUUGUGGCCCUGAGCACACAGACCUCAGAGCCGCCAGGAACCAGAGGUGGGCACUUGGGAUGCACAGAGAGUCCCAAAGUAGGCCCCAGGGCUCUCAGCUCUGACCCACUCAGCACCUGCAGUUAAGGCCACGUUCAUCUGUGUGUGUGAAAUUAUACGCUUUCAACCACAUUUAAAUAUCAGCUGUAAGUUCAUCCAUACUGUCAACUACCAUCGUUCUCUCUCAAACUUGCAUCUUCCCACACAGAAGCUCCUCACUCAUUCAACUCGUCCUCCCCCAGGCUGCUGAUGCUGCACUCAUCAGUCACGCCUGACUCUGAGGCCCCGUGGACGGCAGCCCGCCAGGCUCCUCUGUCCAUGGGAGUCUCCAGGCAAGAACACUGGAGUGGGUUGCCAUCCCUUCUCCAGGCGAUCUUUGUGACCCAGGGGUCGGAUCCGUGUCUCCUGCACCGCAGGUGGAUUCUUUACCGCUGAGCCACCAGGGAAGCCCUCCCCAGUCCUGGGAUGACCUCUGCUGUCCUGUCUCUAUGAGUCUGCUUAUUCUAGAGACCUCAUAUAAGUAGAAUCAUACACAACUUAUCUUUGUGUCUGGUUUCACUGAGCACCAAGUCUUCAGCGCUCACGCAUGAUGUAGCCUGUGUCAGGAUUUCCUUCCUUUUUUCCAGGUAAAUAUGAGUCAUAUUCCAUUCAUGGACAGACCCCACUGUGAAACCCACUCACCCAGCAGCGGACACCAGAUUGUCUCCACCUCUCGCUUAUGUUUAAAACGCUGCUGUGAAUUUGGGUGCACAACGAUCUCCUCAAGACCUUGCUUCCGUCUGGGGGCGGGCACACCUGGAAGUGGGCUUGUAGGGCCGCAUGGUAGCUCCGUGUUUCACUUCUGAGGAUGCUCCACUCUGUUUUCCAUGGCAUUUGCACCGUUUACAUUCCAACCAGCGGUGCACAAAAGUUUCAAUUUCUCCGCGUCCUCUCCAACACUUGUUUUGUUCGGAGGUAGCAUUGCCACAGUGGGAGUGGUCUCUCACUGUGGUUUUGAUUGGCAUCUUCCCGACUAGUGACGCUACCUUUUUGGGCACUUCGUGAGCGUGUGUAAGUCUUCCUUGGAGGAAUGUCCCGAUGGGCGGGGGGGCCGGGGGCUCCCCAGGGAGGCCUCAGCGCUCUCAGCUGUGACCUAGGCGCCGCCCGCAGUCGUGUGGUGUGGACAUGCGUGUACAUGUAUUAGAUUGUAUGUGUAUUAGAUUAUACGUAUAAUGUGCACGUUUAACAUAAAAAGCUUUUUCGUUUA